AUGGGGCAACCCUUAAUUAUGCUUGCUGUCCGUGAAAAUUGCCCUUGUCGUAUCUUAACAUAGCCCCGUGUCCAUCUGUGUCACUGUCUGCAGAGCCUGGCUUUCCCGAUAAAGGUGUCAUAGGGAGUAGAUUACACUUUGGAGAUGGCCCUAAUGUGAAGGUGUAGCUUGCAGGUCUCUGCUGCCAUGUACUAAUUGUUCCUCACAUCUACCACGUGAUGUUACAGCUCUUCACAAGUCCUGCAGAAGGCAGUGAGACAGCAUGAGCAGGAGGUUCCUCUAGGUGUUUACGCUGAGAGCAUCUUGUCUGAGGGAGAAGGAAUCCAGCAAAACCCGUGUGUGAGCUUGGAGACCAGUGUUUGUACUUAAAACAUUAAGAAAUGGUAACAGUUACACUGUUUUGAUGGCACAUCUAUUAAAACCCUAUCUCAAAGCAAACAA